UUCUCGCCUCCCUCUCUCUCUCAGACGAGAAUUUAUUUUUUCAAUCCAUCUUAGUUUAUCUCAGAUAAACAAUUUUUCUCGUCCUCGUCUUCACCUCUACCUCCGCCUCUUUAGUUUUCAGUUUCUUCUCAGCAAAAAAGAAAAAAAUGAAAACUAGGGUUUCCAGAAAUCUCUUCAUCAACACUUUAGUUCUAUUUUUUUCUUCGAUUCUGGAGCAUCAACUUCAAAUGGUGUAGAAUAUAGCAAAUCUCGAGCAUCGGGUACUCGAGAGAUCGGAUUAAUGGAGGAAAUAAGUAGAUCAAGUGGAUACCAUUUGCCUUCAUCAAGAUCAACAUGUUACACCUGUUGGAAGGAAAGUAUUACCAAGAUUACUCUUACACUUGAUGAUGGAACUGGUCGAAUUGAUUGGCACAGAUGAUAUAGGCUCUCUUUGAGGUUUUUGAUUAUCUCGUUGAAGUGUGCUUACAAGUACGUCCGAGUUAUGGAGGAAGAAACAAUCUGAUGUGAUAAAAUUAUCCGAUACAGCGUUUACCGAUACAGUGGAACUGGAAAUGAAUCUUUUCAACCUUCAGCAACUUGUUGAAAUGUUUACUAUUGAUGGUGUUAACAAGAAUUGAGCUAUUUUUUAUUUACUAAAGCUAAGUCAGUUGUGGGUGAGUUGAGUCAUUUUCACGAGAUACAUAAACUGAUGCGAGUUGCAUUGCUCUUUUAUAGCAGGAAUGGGAAAGGCCUAGACCUGCAUGGAGACCUGAUAUAUUUCCACAGUUCAGCUCAAUGAAAACACCGUUUCCAGCACCGUUGUUAGCAUAUCCUCCAGAAGAAAGAAAAAAGGAGGAAGAUGAAG